rnacentral:rRNA from 1 species
CCCUUAGACGUUCUGGGCCGCACGCGCGCUACACUGACCAGUGCAACAAGCAUCCGUCCUUGGCCGACAGGCUCGGGCAAUCUUUGAACGCUGGUCGUGAUGGGGAUAGACUUUUGCAAUUUUUGGUCUUCAACGAGGAAUUCCUUGUAAACGCAAGUCAUCAACUUGCAUUGAUUACGUCCCUGCCCUUUGUACACACCGCCCGUCGCUCCUACCGAUUUCGAGUGGUUCGGUGAACCUUUCGGACCGGCAAUGCCUCGUGUUGCGCCGGAAAGUCAAGUAAACCAUAUCACUUAGAGGAAGGAGAANUCGUANCA